GCCCGGGAUAAAAGGGGCUGGGGCCAGAGCACCUCCAUCCACUCCCUCCUGAGGAGCUGACGGACCCUGUGCUGCUUGUGCGUGACUCCUGAACAUCCACCUGCCGACAUGUCCUGCCAGCAGAGCCAGCAGCAGUGCCAGCCCCCUCCCAAGUGUCCCACCCCUAAAUGUCCCCCGAAGUGUCCUCCAAAGUGCCCUCCAGUCUCUUCCUGCUGUGGUGUCAGCUCUGGGGGCUGCUGUGGUCCCAGCUCGGGGGGCUGCUGCAGCUCUGGUGGUGGUGGCUGCUGCAGCUCUGGGGUAGGCGGCUGCUGCCUGAGCCACCACAGGCGCCGCAGGUCCCACCGCCGCAGACACCAGAGCUCUGACUGCUGCAGCCAGCCCUCGGGGGGCUCCAGCUGCUGCGGAGGGGGGAGCGGGCAGUCUUCUGGAAGCUGCUGCUGAAGUGGACCCUGAGCCAAGAAGAGCUAACUUAGAGGCAACAAAUGGCCAAACACUUCCUCCUCCCCCUGCUCCUCCUGGGCUUGCCUGAGUGGCUGAGAUGUCCCAUUACAGGUUCUGAGCUCUCAGCUAGAGGGUCUCUCUGCCCCAGGAUUCAGAAGCCUGAAUCCCCUCCCAGAAAUCUAUCUGCUGACCUCUGACAUCAACUGUGUUGUCUCCCGUGGGACCCCAGACCGCAGACUCUAACUCCCUCCUCAGCCAGUUGCCUUGCAAUCUGCAACCUCAAAUGAAUCAAUAAAACAAGGAAUCUGCUCA